rnacentral:tRNA from 1 species
ACCUGGCUGGCUCAGUUGAUGGAGCAUGAAGCUCUUGAUCUCAAGGUCAUGAGUUCAAGCCCUAUGUUGGGUA